rnacentral:rRNA from 1 species
AGUCUGAACCAGCCAAGUCGCGUGAGGGAAGACUGCCCUAUGGGUUGUAAACCUCUUUUAUAAGGGAAGAAUAAGUUCUACGUGUAGAAUGAUGCCUGUACCUUAUGAAUAAGCAUCGGCUAACUCCGUGCCAGCAGCCGCGGUAAUACGGAGGAUGCGAGCGUUAUCCGGAUUUAUUGGGUUUAAAGGGUGCGUAGGCGGUUUAUUAAGUUAGUGGUUAAAUAUUUGAGCUAAACUCAAUUGUGCCAUUAAUACUGGUAAACUGGAGUACAGACGAGGUAGGCGGAAUAAGUUAAGUAGCGGUGAAAUGCAUAGAUAUAACUUAGAACUCCGAUAGCGAAGGCAGCUUACCAGACUGUAACUGACGCUGAUGCACGAGAGCGUGGGUAGCGAACAGGAUUAGAUACCCUGGUAGUCCACGCCGUAAACGAUGCUCACUGGUUCUGUGCGAUAUAUUGUACGGGAUUAAGCGAAAGUAUUAAGUGAGCCACCUGGGGAGUACGUCGGCAACGAUGAAACUCAAAGGAAUUGACGGGGGCCCGCACAAGCGGAGGAACAUGUGGUUUAAUUCGAUGAUACGCGAGGAACCUUACCUGGGUUUAAAUGGGAAAUGUCGUAUUUGGAAACAGAUAUUCUCUUCGGAGCGUUUUUCAAGGUGCUGCAUGGUUGUCGUCAGCUCGUGCCGUGAGGUGUCGGGUUAAGUCCCAUAACGAGCGCAACCCUUACCGUUAGUUGCUAGCAUGUAAUGAUGAGGACUCUAACGGGACUGCCACCGUAAGGUGAGAGGAAGGCGGGGAUGACGUCAAAUCAGCACGG